rnacentral:lncRNA from 10 species
UUAAACGCCUACUACAAAGCAUCUUACGGAUGAAGAAACUGAGGCACAGAAAUGUUGGACAGGUAUCCAAAAUAGGACUGGAACACAGAUGUCCUAAUGUCAAUUUAUCUCACUAGGAGAUCCUGAGGAUACAAAGCAACUAUAUGAACUAAAUUCCAAAGACUGACAAACUUCUUCAAGGAAAAAAAGGAACACUUAAAUUUUGCCUUUGUCACAGCACAGAAGGAAGAGGUAACUACCAUUUAAGAUAUACCUCUAUUUUCCACAAGAACAGCAAGCAAAAGAGAAGACAGGGAGGCACUCAGAGGAUGGGGAUUCUCCAAAGCUGCAAAUUAUAAAUCAUCCUGGUUAGCCUACUGAGAUCAGUGAGGAGAAGAGAAUGGGAGGAUCAGAACACAAAUGAAGUCACUGAUUACUUGGUUGCAGCCAAGAUGCAAAAAGGAAUAAGAUGUGCUUCUCUGCUCAGAAAAUUCAUAGUCCAUUGGGAGAAUGGGGUCUUCCUGGAUCAUUUCAGAACAACGUGGAAAACAAUGCAAUUAAAGAAUGUGUGUACAUAGUUUCAUAGAACCACAGACAAGGGCACCCAGCCUAUCUGGGGUGGGUGCAGAAUACAGAAUUUGAAAAUUAUCCAGUGGAAGUGAUUACUAAGAUGACUCAAAAACAGGACUGACGCAGGCAUGAACAGGGAGAUAUGAGCAUUCUGGAUGGUAUUGCAUAUGGAGGGAGAAAUUCUACUUUGGAACACUGACGUCAAGGCCAGUUGGGUGAGAGAUGGGGUUGGGGCAGUCAUCAAGUGCCAGACCACACGAGGAUGAAAUGCCUUGUUAAGGCAUCUGGCCUUUACCUUGUUGGCAGAAGGAAACCAUUGCUGAGUCUUAAAUAGUAGAAUGACAUGGUCAGGUAUGCCUUUCAGAUAACUCUCUGACAUGGCCUUGUAGAAAAUUGAUUGGAGAAGACAAGAAGAUGACAGGAGGGAAUGAGCCAUAGAAAGGCAGAUUUCCUUGGAAGAAAGAAAUCUUCUUCCAAAGAAGACUUCCAUAGGGUACUGUUACAGUAACCCAGACAGGAGAUGUUAAGGUCUGAACCUGGGUAUUAGUAGUUAGGGAGGAAAUAAAAUUGAGAAAUAUUACACUAUGUAAUUAGAGGGCACACCAAAUGGUUGAGUGGGAGGUGUCAAAGAGAGGUGGAUCAGAGUUGUCUUAGUUCAGCUACUAUAACAAAUUUCCAAAGACUGAAUGGCUUAAAAAAUAAUUUAUGUCUCACAAUUCUGGAGGACAGGAAGUCCAAGGUCAAGGCUCCAGCAGAUUUGGUCUCCUGUGAGGGCCUGCUUCCUGGUUUGCAAAUUGUUUUGUGGCUAUCUUCUCAUUGUAUCUUCACAUAGUGGAGGGCAGACAGAGAGAUCUCCUGCCACCUUCUCUUUUUAAAGGGUACUAAUCCCAUUAUGAGGUCCCCACUGUCAUGACCACAUCUAACGCUAAUUGCUUAUCAAAGGCCCUACCUUCAAACACCAUUAUAUUGGGGGUUAGGAUUUCAACAUAUCAGUUUGGAGAAGACACAAAUAUUUCGUGCAUAACAAGGGACAAUUUUCAUGUAUGUACAAAGGUCUUCCUUGGUAAGACCUUUCCUGACCACUCCACUAAAACUACAAAUCAUCCUUACCAGCAUCCCCUAUCCCUUCUCUUCCAUCUUUCUCUAGUGCUUAUAUAAUUUCAUUAUUAGCUAUCUGUCUUCACUACAAUAUGUGAGAUUCUUUAUGGCAGGGAUUUUGUCUCUUUUGUUCACUGCUGCAUCACAAUACCUGCAGCAGUGCCUGGCACCUACUAUGUACUCAAUAAGUAUCUGCUCAGUGAAUGAAUGCCUGAUGGUGGUGCUGAGAAAAACUGAGAAAAAAAUGCAGGAAGAAGAGCAAGUUUAGAGAAAAUGAUGCUGGGUUCACUUUUGCACUUUCUUUAGCACUCCAGGGAAAAAUAAAGCUAUGCAGAGACUCAGAAUGUUGGAUAUGACAGAGGCCCUAGAGACCAUUUGUUUUAGUCCAUUUAUGUUGCUAUAAAGGAAUACCUGAGGCUGGGUAAUUUAUAAAGAAAAGAGAUUUCUUUGGCUCACAGUUCUGCAGGCUGUACAGGAAGCAUGGCUCCAGCAUCUGCUUCUGGUGAGGGUCUCAGGCUAAUUUCACUCAUGUCAGAAGGCAAAGGGAAAGCGGUGUGUGCAGAGCUCACAUGGCAAGAGGAAGCAAGAGAGAAAGAGGGAGGGAAGGUGCCAGGCUCUUUUUGACAACCAGCUCUCAUGGAAACGAAUAGAGCAAGAACUGACUCAUUCCCACCAGGACAGCACCAAGUAAUUCAUGAGGAAUCCCCCACUGACCCAAACACCUCCCAUUAGGUCUUACCUCCAACAUUAGGGAUCACAUUUCAAUAUAAGACUUGGAGGGGUCAAAUAUCCAAACCAUUGCACCAUUCUAUACAGUUCCUUCAUUUGGGAAAAAAAGAAACUGAGGUCCAGAAAACUGAAGUGUCAUGCCCAUGGCAAGGCAAACACAGCUGAGCCAAGCAUCCCACCCCUGUUCCCAGCUUCAGUUUAGUGUUUAUGCCUCUUGUUUCUGGUAAUAUGAGAGAUCAAUAAAAAUCACUUGCCUUUGACCUUCAGCUAGAAUUUAACUAAACUAUUAAGUGCCUGUUUUUUCAGAGCCCACUUAACCAAUUCAUUCAGGAAAGAAAAUUUUUUGAGCCUGAGCCAGAUAUAGAAAGAUCUAGUCAUAGAGGUCUUCUCUGCCUUGGAAUCUUGCCAGGCUGAGGCUGCCUUAGCAGCUGUGCUAAAGCAAAUAGACAGCUCUGCCUGUGAGCCUCACACCAGGUAAGUAGUUGCCUGAAUCCAUCCGUGAUUUUAUUUUUAUUUGAUAUUUUUAAAUUGAGGUAUAAUUGUCACACCAUGAAAUGUAUAGAUCUUGUCAAUACAGGUCAAUGAAUUUUGACAAACAUAAACACCCAUGUAACCCCUACCCCAAUAAAGAUCCUUCCUGCCCUUCCCAAAGCCCCUUUCAGAGGCAACCACUUUUCUGAUUUCUAUCACCAUUGAUUAGUUUUGCCAGUUCAAGAACGUCAUGUAAAAGGAAAACUUUUCCAGAUUCGUACAUCUGGCUCCUUUUACUUGGCCUCAUGUCUAUGAGAUUCAACCAAGUUGGUGCUUGUAUCAUUAGUUUUUUCUUCACAUUGCUGAGUAGUAUUCAUGGGCUUAGUAUAGCACAAUUUGUUUAUUCAUUCUCCUGGAUAUUUAAGCUGUUUCUAAUUUCUGGCUAUUGUGAGUAAAGGUGCUAUAAACAAUCUUGUUUAAAUAUAUUUAAGGACAUAUGUUUUCAUUUUCCUUGGAUAAAUGUCUAGAAGUGACAUGGUUGGGUCUUAGGAUAGGUAUAUGUUUAACUUCAUAAAGAAAUGCCUAACAGUUUUCCAAGGUAGUAUAUGAUUUUUACACGCCAACCAGCAACAUAUAAGAUUUCCAAUUGCUUCAUAGCCUCACCAAUAUAGGUGUCAUCAAGCCUCUUCAUUUUAACCCCAUGAGAAGUCAAACAAACACAGUACACUUUUUUUUGUAACUGCUAACACUUUGCAAACUUCUAUUAUGGAGAAUUUCAUACACUUACUUAAGCAUUAGAUGCAUUCAUCAUCUAGCUUUACGAAUUAUCAACUUAUGGCCAAUCUGGUUUCAUUUCUAUACCCUUUAUCCCCUCCUCCCAUAUUAUUUAGAAGCAAAUCCCUGACAUCAUAUCAUUCAUCUGUAAGUAUCUCAGUAUGUAUCUCUGAAAUAUAAGGACAAUUUGUAAACCUAACUAAAAUGCCAUUGCAUUUGAUAUAAAAAACAAUAAUGCUUUAAUACCACUAAAUAUUCAGUCAACAUGCAAAUUUCUAAUUGUCUCAACAAAUUCAUAAAUUUUUUGUGUAGCUUGUCUGCUAAAAUCAGUAUUCAAAUUAGUAUACGUACUGCAAUCAGUUGAUAUGUCUUACAAGUAUCUUUUAAUUCAGAGGUUCCUCCUCUUCCUGUUUUAUUCUUCAUAAUGUUUUUGUUAAAUAAAUUGGAUUGUUUGUCCUCUAAAUUUACCUAUAGAUUGGAUUUUGCUAAUGCAUUAUUUAACACAUUCUUCCGUCCUCUGUAUUUUCUGUAAAUUGUUACUUCAUCUAGGAACUUAACCACAUUCAGGUUCAAAUUUUUGGCAAAACUACCUAAUCCUUGGUAUUAUGUUCUUCUAUCUGGAGGCACAUGGUGUCUGCUGUCUCUCUUUUUCACAUUAGCACUGUUUUUUAUCUCAUCAUUAGAUGAUUAACUUAUUUUAGGUUGCAAAAUUGUGACAUUCCAAUGCUACUCUGUUUUCAUUUAUAUGUUGGGAUACUUCCAU